rnacentral:rRNA from 1 species
CGGCACGGGUGAGUAACACGUAAGUAAUCUACCUUCGAGUGGGGAAUAACGUUCGGAAACGAACGCUAAUACCGCAUAAUGCAGCGGCAUCUAUGAUGACAGUUGUUAAAGAUUUAUCGCUUGAAGAGGAGCUUGCGGCAGAUUAGCUAGUUGGUAAGGUAACGGCUUACCAAGGCGACGAUCUGUAUCCGGUCUAAGAGGACGGUCGGACACACUGACACUGAAUAACGGGUCAG